UAGUAUGGCAAAGUCGAGUAGGAAAGGUUCCUAGUGGAUUCUCAUCAUUAGUUUUGUGUUUCUAUUAUUUUCACUUUACGUUUCACUUUAUGCAGUUCAGUUUGGAGCCUAACCACUGAAUGAGAUGGUAGUGUAGGAUGCUGGAAUUUAAACUACAUUGACUAUAGGAAGUUGUAUGUGAAUGAGAAAGUGACAUGAGAGGGCUUGGGAGCAGAGGGAGCAACGAGCUAAACGGGCCCACUCAAGGGGAGAGGCAUCACAGCGUAGCUAGCGUGGGAGAAGAGCACAGAGGCAUAUGCAAGGCUUGUAGGGAGGGUGAGAGAAGGAAGGCACCAUAGGCACUGUGAGUAGAAAGAAUUGCUCAUGGAAAUGCACCAUGGUCUGAAAGGGUGGGUUCUAUUUGGUGACAGGUGAAUAAUUUGGUGUGGCUGAACUCUACCCACAUGAACAACAGGAAAAAAUGAAAAGAAGAAGUUGGGGCAAGAUGGUAAUGAACAACAUUUUUAUGCUUGUCCAAGGAAUUUCUAACACACUAUAAAUGUAAGAAAAUGCUGCAUACUCUGAAGAAAUACUAAGAAAUAUAUAUCUGGGGAAUAUUUUUGAUAAAAAGAGACUAGAAAAUGGUAAAUGUUGGGAGUCAAGAAUGUCUCUGAUGAGAGAACGGAAGGAAACCCCACUGCUGAGACAGACAACUCAGGAAGAUUUGAGAGAAGAGCCCCAGGGAGGAGGACUCCAAUGAUUACCUUUGCUUCUGCCUUAAUCCUUCCUAAACCUACAUGUGAGAAAGUUGAACAAGAAAGCAGGAUUCCUGACUCAUCUCAAGGCUGCUAAGAAGGACGGGGUGAGGGGGAAGCAGCUAUCAGAGCUGGCUUCCUGAAGCCUGUUGUGUAUGAAAACUGCUGUCUAACAUGAAAGCUGUGGGGAUAAAAUUUGCAUGUGUCAGUGACAUGAAAUUUGUCACUGCAGAUAUCCAGAGAGCUGAAAUAAAGGAGUUGCUGGAGUGCUGAAAUGCAGAACCUAGAGCAAUACUGAAGUAUGGACUGGGUCUGAGCUGCUGUACAGCUGUUGAAGGCAGUCUGAGGCACCCUGGAGAGAGACCUGGGCUUUCAGUACCCUUCUCAGGCCCCCAGCCCUCCUAGAGCAUUCCUCAGCGAGAUCUGUCAGCUUGCCAUGCACAGGUUUUGCCUUGUCCCAGAUCCUAGACCAGUGCUAAGUGGCAGCAGCAAGCCCUUACGCACAUUCCUAUUGAGGACAUUCCUUAUUGUAUUUCCUUGCGGACGUCAUAGUGUUACUGGGGGGUCCUUGUUCUUAGAGCUCCCAAGAUGGUGGCUGCUUCCAAGAUGGUGGCAAGCCUCGUGUUCUCUGACCUGGGGUUCUUGGCCUCAUGGAUUCCAAGGAAUGGAACCUUGGGCCAUGCGGGGAGUGUUAUAGCUCUAUUAGAAGCCCUGGGUCACGGAAGAGGACCGUGGAACCUAUGACUAGUGUUCAGCUCAAUUAGGACAAACCCUGGCACUUAGCCAUGCAGGAACAAUGGCAAGCCUUUAUCCUGAUCCAGAGUGGCAACAGGCGCCUUGCUGGAUCAGAAACGCAGUGGACACCCUGCCAGAUCCGGAGGGGAGAAGUCAAGGGAGGGUCUGGGACGACAGACAACAGCGGUGGUGGACGGCAAGCGAAAGCUCAGUUUGAGCCAUCACAAACACAGACCAGAAGAGUGCGCAGUUGCAAGAUUUAACAGGGUGAAAACAGAGCUCCCAUACAAUGGUAGGGGACCCAAAGGGGGCUGCUGUUGCCGGCUCAAAUGCCUGGGUUUAUAUCCCGAUCAUUGUCCCUCCCCCUGUGCUCUCAGGCAAUAGAUGAUUCGCUAUUUCUUUACCUUCUGUUUUUGCCUAAUUAGCAUUUUAGCGAGCUGUCUUUACUACCUGAUUGGUUGGGUGUGAGCUAAGUUGCAAGCUCCCUGUUUAAAGGUGGAUGCAGUCACCUUCCCAGCUAGGCUUAGGGAUUCUUAGUCGGCCUAGGAAAUCCAGCUGGUCCUGUCUCUCAAUAGUGCCCCAGCUCCUACUAUUGGGUGUCUUUGUGGUGGCUUCAAUGGCUUAUUUCAAAACUUACCUGGACCUGGUGGUCCCAGAGAAAGCUUCUAGAAUUCAAUGUGCUUCCGCAAGUGGGAGCCACUUUCUCAUCUUGACUCAGCGGUUCCAUUCUGAUUCUUAACCUCCAAUGCCAACUAUCUUCAGCAUAUUGCAAACUUCAGCAAACGAACAAAGCCAAGACUACUAACCUGUCAGGAAUCUUUCUGCAAAUCCGAAAAAAGCUCUGGGAGGGCAGAGGGCAGUGUCUUGUGCACUUAGAGAAUGCCUUCAUGUAUAUAUCUGUAUUAUGCAGUUUUCUUAAGGGUGUCUUUUUCUCUGGAAAGAUCUAACCCCGUCCCAGGCUACAUGACUCGGAAGGCAGAGAAGUGUUGGAUUUCAGCCCCACUCACCCCUCAGCUAGGUGCCUAUGUGCGUUAGACCACCUAUUUGACUAUACAAAUGGCUUAUGCCCAUUUAAAAAAUUAUUUUUCUAGAAGGCUUUCUAGUCCAGAAAUUGCUCUAACACAAUAACAAUAAAUAACACAAAUAAUUGCUCUAACACAAUAAACAAUAAAUAACAAUAAAUUGCUCUUUAUGCUUACCUGAAUCUUGGCUUAGCACGGAAGGAUCCAGGAUUUAUAGGCAGGCCUUCCAGAUGUCAACAACUCCUGAAGUAUGAAAUUUUGACAUGAUCGAGAUUUAGCAACGUGUUUCUAUUGGCCUGAGGUCAUUUGUACCAUUGUUUUCACACAGGCAUCCCUAUUAUAACCAAACCCAAUGCCUAGACAGUGCCUGGCCUAUAAGAGAGAGACAAUAAAAAAGUUGUGGGCUCAGUUAACAAGCCAUUGCAUCACCCACCAUCAAUGCCCUCCUGCUGACCAAGAACCAGACCAAGAACCAUGUUGACCACGUCUUGCUACCAGGAAAAUCACACUAUUUGUCCAACAAAUCCUAAGAUAUAAUAAUAAAGAUGAAAAGUUACAUUAAAAAGUAUUACUAAAAUUAGGAUAUCAAUCUGCAUGUACUUAAAUACGUGAAAAGAGGUAAUAUAAUGUGUAUGAAAAGAGGUAAUAUAAUGUGUAUGAAAAAAAUGUUCUACUGAAUGAUUUUGGAAGCAGUUGAUAAAUUAUUUUACCAGAAAGAGUAAGAAUGGCAUAAUCAUCUGUAGAUACCACAGUACAUAUAAUUCUUUAUGAGAUGGUUAAUAACAGUGGAGUUGAUCUUGGGAAAACAUGCACGAAUUGUGUGUAGCUUGCCAGCCGUUUUUCCCUCAAACCUUUAUACUUGUGGCUUGUUUAACAUCUUAUAAUCCCUUGUGAUUACGUUGUUAAAUCAAUUUUUUCAUGUUUCUUUUGUGGCCAUCUUUUAUAAUUUUUAUUUUUAUACAGCCAGUGGGUCCCUGUUGUGAGGACGGCAUGGGAGAGAUGACUUCCUUCCAGCCUAAGGGAUUGGGCACCGAAGACAGCACAGACAAGCAUCCUUGGUCAUUGCAUGGAAUAGAACAUUUCAACAGCUCAAACACACUGGUAAUGCUCCAGGAGAGGAAUGAAUGUUUCCUUCCCAGACAUGUCAUUUUGUAUUAGCAGAAGCUGGACAGCUUGAGGAUUAUUGCUUGUAUAUCUGGAAUUAAAUUUCUAGCUCUCCGAAUGCUCAUCCUUUAUAGCAGUGCCAUGUUCUCGGGAGUUUAGCCAGUAAUAGUGUUUGCUGCCACAAUAGAUACAAGUUGUUGGAAGCUGGUCACAUCCACUCUCCUUCUUUACUGAACAUAAUGAAUGAUCACCCAUUGCGUGGAUAACAAAGCAAUCAGGAAGUAAAACCUUUCUUGUUCUUUUUUGGCUCAAUGAAAGGCAAUACACGUGCUUGCUAACAACUACAUGGCCAAAGAAAACACUCAAAUAAACCUGCGAGUUUGUUCUUGCUUGGGGAGCAGGAGAAGUUAAUGCCAUGAGGCCAUUCUAAAGUGGACCAGGUGAGUUGGAUACAUUAAAAUGAUUAAUAACAGGGAUGGUGAAUGAUGUCCCUCAAGAACAUACAUGAUUCUUUCCUCCACCACUUGUCUUCAGUCUUUGCAUUGAGAUAAAAAUCAGUUACUUAUAUGUACAAAAAUAAAGGAAGGAGCUCAUAAAAAAUUAAAAAGUGGUAUCAGAAUGCAAAAUAAAUAAGACAGAAUAUGAACCAAGUCUUGUAACAAUGUUAAAUACAUGAAAUGAGGCUGUAAGUCUGUGAUUGCAGUAAGAGGCACACAGGGGCAUUUGAGUUCGGUCCUAAAGAGCAGAAAGCAUUUUGUCAUGUAGAAAUGGAAAGAGCGCCUCAGGCAGCUGAAAUAGUACACAAGUGGGUGAAGAGGGGAGAAACGCCUUUGAGGGCAUGGAGUUUGGCUGUGUAGACAGGGCAUAUGGAUUCAGUCUACAGAGAGCAGGCUGGCGAUGCAACUGGGUGAUGAGCACAGGGCAGGCUGAACCAGCAGAAGAGCCCAGGACCCCUCCAAAUAGAAGCAGUUUAAAAAUUCCCUCUCAGGUUUGUUAUUUAAUACUUCAGAGGAUACAAACAACAUAUCAAAAGAAGUGUCAGGAUUGGAUUUUUAUGUGAAAUUUCAUUUGGCUACUGGGUUUUGUUUUAUUAGAAGAGUCUAUCAUUGCUUGUUGUCAGCAUACAAGUCUUCACGCUGAGGGGGCACCUGGCACUUCCUGCAGUGGUGGGGUUUUAUAGCAUGCACCACACAGCUGCACCACCGCCCGCCUCCUGACCUGACCCAUGCAACACAGCACUCUGCAGAUGCCUCUUGUUCCUGGUCAUCCGGGAGUCUCCUCACUAACCAUUUCCAGCUGUUAGCACCUAUAUGGGCCACUGUUUGGAAAAAUGCGGAGACCAUUUGGACCCAAAUGUCUUACUUAAUGUUUCAUUGAUGCAUACUUCAUAUACCACAAAUAUCACCAAUUAUAAGCAUAAAAUAUGAUAAGUUUUGACAUAAAAACUCAGUCUUAUAUUCACCAUUACAUUACAGAAAGUUCCUUCCUUAUGUUUGAAAAAAUUCAUUUUAAAAAGAAAGGCUGUGGUGUCCUUGUGGAAUACACUCGUGGGCUUUCAGUGUGAGACGCCUUCUGGGAGCCAUGAUCAAGCCUGGACUUUGAAUAAGGCAGCUGGAGAGUGGAGGAUUCAUGGAAGGUACACUUUGGAGGAGGAGAUCUAGAAACUUUGUUAGUGUGUAUGAUGGGAUGUAAUAGCAAUCAAUUACAUAUCAAUAACUAGGGUAAAUUUUCAACAUUAUUGUUGAUAAUAGAAACCGAUGAGUUACCUACGCAAAUAAUAAUUUAAGAAAGGUUAAUUUUUGUUGUGGUUCUAUAAAAAUAAUGCUGUUUACCCGAACUGAUCCAUGCUCUUCACCAUUUAUGCAAGAUUAUCUUGCAGAAGCAUAGCAAUUAUAUACAUCACUAAUGUGGUCGGGGCUCUUGAGUGAAUUCUGUUUCAUUGGCAUUAAGCACAUUCUUCAGUGCUAAACAAUGAGGUAGCUUCUCAUGUUGUGUGAUAUUUAACAAAUUUAGCACAUUGAAAAGGCUCUCUGGGGUAAAAUAAGAUGUUUGUAAGUUGACAUUUUGUAUAUUUUCCUAAGCCAAUGUAAAUACUAUACAAAGAGAUGGCAGUGAGGCUUCUGCAAGGUAUCAAUACAACCUCAAAUGACUAAGUGCAUGGCAUUUUCUAAAUUUUUAAAAUUACUUCUUGAAUACUUAUUAUGCCCUUAUUCCACACCAGGUAGUGGAGAUAUAAAUAGAGAUCGUUUCUAUUUCCAUUAAGCUUUAAAACUUAGUGGAAAGAAAACUGACUUUAAUCAAAUAAUGCUACCAAGAUAUAAUGUAAGUGAUAAGUGCAAAGAAGAAAAAGCGUUAAUUGUAGAGCAUCUAUACUUGGGAAUCCUAAUACACUCUGGAAAAUAGCUGAAAAGUUUCUUUGAGAUCAUGACAUUUGAAUUGAAAUCUCAAGUUCAGGGACUAGAAAUGAGGAUCUGAACCAAGAGAGGAGCUUUUUCCAGGACAGGAGUUUGGACAAUGUGAAGCACUUGAGAAGAUGGAAGAUGGUGAAUGUGAGCUGAGGCGAGUGGAGAGGGAGAGUAGAGGAGACAAGGCAGAUAGAGCAGACACUUGAUCGUGAGGGACAUGGGAGGCCAUGCCACGGACUUGACCCUUUCUCUUACCUGUGAUGACUCGUCUGAGAGACUUUAUGCAGGAGAGCAGCACGAUUGCCUUUGGAAAUGGCCAUCAGGCAGCCAUGUGGAGUCUCUAUUGCUCAGAAGACAGCAGGACACCACCUGGAAGCAAUUCCGAGUAAGACACAGUGCUCAAGACAAUGUUCGGAUUAACCCUACAUUCCACCAAUAGGUAUCAAGGACUCCCGACGUUUCAGGCAUGGCACGGGGAUUGGGACAGAGCAGUGGGAAAAUGACAAAGGCCCUGCUUUUCAUUCUAGUGGGUGUGUCAAGGGCUUAGAAGAUCAGUAACAAAGGACAAUGUGGGAGAGAAAAGAAUGGAACAAAAAAAUGACAGGAAUGAAAGUAGAUCUCUGCGUUUACACUGGGGAAAUGUCAAAGUUCUGAGGGGAAAGGAGAAAACAACAGUGAACCCUACUCUGAACCAGUGUCAACAAUUAAUUAACAAAGUAUAGAAAUUAGCUGAUUUUUUUUUGCAUGUGUACCCUGUAAGAACAGGAGAGGAAUUUUAUUAGAACCCCCUUUUCUAGAGGGAUAAUGGCCGGGCUGUUCAUUUUCUGUGAUUUGCAGUUCUGUAAAUAUAUUUAUAAUGAUCAUCAACUCUAUAUCUAGCCUACAGAUUCACAACUCAAAUAUAGUAAAUAUGGAGCAUCUGAAAAUGCACAGCUGCUGUGUUUACUAAAGCACUUAUUACAUAAAAAUAAUAUCUGUUAUUCAAUUGGGUUCUAAAUUUGAACAUGAUACAUACAAUUCUGGUUAUAUUCACUAUUGGAGUUAAGGAAAAUGAAUGAGGUCUACCUAAAUUGAUAUGUGAGAAAUUAAAAGCAGAAUAAACACCCACCCACAGUGAGUGGC
rnacentral:lncRNA from 1 species